rnacentral:rRNA from 1 species
CCCAGACUCCUACGGGAGGCAGCAGUGGGGGAUAUUGCACAAUGGGGGAAACCCUGAUGCAGCGACGCCGCGUGAGUGAAGAAGUAUUUCGGUAUGUAAAGCUCUAUCAGCAGGGAAGAAAAAAGACGGUACCUGACUAAGAAGCCCCGGCUAACUACGUGCCAGCAGCCGCGGUAAUACGUAGGGGGCAAGCGUUAUCCGGAUUUACUGGGUGUAAAGGGAGCGUAGACGGCAAUACAAGUCGGAAGUGAAAUACCCGGGCUCAACCUGGGAACUGCUUUGGAAACUGUAUGGCUGGAGUGCUGGAGAGGUAAGCGGAAUUCCUAGUGUAGCGGUGAAAUGCGUAGAUAUUAGGAGGAACACCAGUGGCGAAGGCGGCUUACUGGACAGUAACUGACGUUGAGGCUCGAAAGCGUGGGGAGCAAACAGGAUUAGAUACCCGGGUAC